rnacentral:lncRNA from 1 species
UGAUAAAUAUAUAUAUGUAUUGAGAAAUGAUUCAAGAAUUGUGAAACAACCGUUGUACUCUAAAAGCUUAAGUUGUUAGAGAACGGUGUUUUAAAUAUUUUUAUAUUUAACACUCUCCCUCACGUCUGAGCUCGAGACUUUUUAGUUGGCCCAUGACGUGGGCUUGAAUUAAAUGAGAGAAAAUUAAUAUGUUAGGAGCCUGGCGUGACUCGAACUCAGGACCUCCUACUCUGAUACCAUGUAAAAUAACUGUUGUACUCUAAAAAUAUAAGCCGUUAGAGAACGGUAUUUUAAAUAUUUUUAUAUUUAACAAAAAUAGUCUUU